ACACACACAGGAUGAACAGAACCUGUACUGGCCCGCUCUGGAGAGACACGUCUGUUCCAGCUCCUCCAAGGUCCGCAACACUAGGGAGUACUUUAAGGAACAGAAGGGUUAAUACCCACACACACACUAACUGAAACUACACCAACAGCCUAAAAACCUAAAGAGGGACAUCCCGGCAGUGAAGAAACGGAUUCAAAAACACCAUCCCCGCCGCGAGGUGGCUUGGGCCUCGCCGCGAGGUGGCUUGGGCCUCGCCGCGAGGUGGCUUGGGCCUCGCCGCGAGGUGGCUUGGGCCUCGCCGCGAGGUGGCUUGGGCCUCGCCGCGAGGUGGCUUGGGCCUCGCCGCGAGGUGGCUUGGGACACGCCGCGAGGUGGCUUGGGACACGCCGCGAGGUGGCUUGGGACACGCCGCGAGGUGGCUUGGGACACGCCGCGAGGUGGCUUGGGACACGCCGCGAGGUGGCUUGGGACACGCCGCGAGGUGGCUUGGGACACGCCGCGAGGUAGCUUGGGACACGCCGCGAGGUAGCUUGGGACACGCCGCGAGGUAGCUUGUUCCCUGCCGCCAGGUAGCUUGUUCCCUGCCGCCAGGUAGCUUGUUCCCUGCCGCCAGGUAGCUUGUUCCCUGCCGCCAGGUAGCUUGUUCCCUGCCGCCAGGUAGCUUGUUCCCUGCCGCCAGGUAGCUUGUUCCCUGCCGCCAGGUAGCUUGUUCCCUGCCGCCAGGUAGCUUGUUCCCUGCCGCCAGGUAGCUUGUUCCCUGCCGCCAGGUAGCUUGUUCCCUGCCGCCAGGUAGCUUGUUCCCUGGUAGCUUGUUCCCUGCCGCCAGGUAGCUUGUUCCCUGCCGCCAGGUAGCUUGGGCCCCGCCUUGAAGUAGCUUGGGCCCCGCCUUGA